UACGUAGGGUGCGAGCGUUGUCCGGAAUUAUUGGGCGUAAAGGGCUCGUGGGCGGUCUGUUGCGUCAGGAGUGAAAACUCGGGGCUUAACCCCGAGCCUGCUUCUGAUACGGGCAGACUAGAGGUAUGCAGGGGAGAACGGAAUUCCUAGUGUAGCGGUGAAAUGCGCAGAUAUCAGGAGGAACACCGGUGGCGAAGGCGGUUCUCUGGGCAUUACCUGACGCUGAGGAGCGAAAGUGUGGGGAGCGAACAGG
rnacentral:rRNA from 1 species